rnacentral:lncRNA from 1 species
CAACCACUUUCACAAAAACUCCAUAGCUGCUCCCAGGGUGUGGUGAAUGGAGUAAUGGCAGAAAUGGCUCAGAGUUGAUGGGAAGCUUUUGCCCUGGGGGCUCAGCGGACUGAAAAGUAUCUGCCAUCCAAAUGGAGAUGCACAGAGGAGGGGGAUGAGAUCAGCCUGUGCAUUCUUCAGAGGACAGCCGCUACUUGUAUCCACAGAGUUCACUGAAAAGUAAGAGGUUGGCAUGGGAGGCAAGGAAAGGAACAUGGGCUUCCCCUAAAAAUAAAUGAAGUGACUUGAUGUUCUGGUUACUAUUGCUGGGCAACAAUUCUCUCCAUGACUUUGUGUCAUAAAUGACUUGAUUGUGCUCUUGGAGUCCACCUGU